rnacentral:rRNA from 1 species
AACAAACGCUGGCGGCGUGCCUAAUACAUGCAAGUCGAACGGGGAAAGCUUUCGGGUGAGUACUAGUGGCGCACGGGUGAGGAACGCGUGGAUAAUCUGCCUUAGAGUGGGGGAUAACUAGUCGAAAGAUUAGCUAAUACCGCAUAAGACCACAGGAGCUGCGGCUCAAGGGGUCAAAGGUUUUUCGCUCUAAGAUGAGUCCGCGUAAGAUUAGCUCGUUGGUGAGGUAACGGCUCACCAAGGCGACGACCUUUAACUGGUCUGAGAGGAUGAUCAGUCACACUGGAACUGAGACACGGUCCAGACUCCUACGGGAGGCAGCAGUAGGGAAUAUUGCACAAUGGAGGAAACUCUGAUGCAGCGACGCCGCGUGAGUGAUGAAGGCCUUCGGGUCGUAAAGCUCUGUCGCAGGGGAAUAACACAAUGAAUGUACCAUGCAAGAAAGGAUCGGCUAACUUCGUGCCAGCCGCCGCGGUAACAC